CCGUAGAUGAACGCUGGCGGCAUGCCUUACACAUGCAAGUCGAACGGCAGCACGGGGGCAACCCUGGUGGCGAGUGGCGAACGGGUGAGUAAUACAUCGGAACGUGUCCUGUAGUGGGGGAUAGCCCGGCGAAAGCCGGAUUAAUACCGCAUACGCUCUACGGAGGAAAGGGGGGGAUCUUAGGACCUCCCGCUACAGGGGCGGCCGAUGGCAGAUUAGCUAGUUGGUGGGGUAAAGGCCUACCAAGGCGACGAUCUGUAGCUGGUCUGAGAGGACGACCAGCCACACUGGGACUGAGACACGGCCCAGACUCCUACGGGAGGCAGCAGUGGGGAAUUUUGGACAAUGGGGGAAACCCUGAUCCAGCAAUGCCGCGUGUGUGAAGAAGGCCUUCGGGUUGUAAAGCACUUUUGUCCGGAAAGAAAACCUCUGGGUUAAUACCCCGGGGGGAUGACGGUACCGGAAGAAUAAGCACCGGCUAACUACGUGCCAGCAGCCGCGGUAAUACGUAGGGUGCAAGCGUUAAUCGGAAUUACUGGGCGUAAAGCGUGCGCAGGCGGUCCGCUAAGACAGAUGUGAAAUCCCCGGGCUUAACCUGGGAACUGCAUUUGUGACUGGCGGGCUAGAGUAUGGCAGAGGGGGGUAGAAUUCCACGUGUAGCAGUGAAAUGCGUAGAGAUGUGGAGGAAUACCGAUGGCGAAGGCAGCCCCCUGGGCCAAUACUGACGCUCAUGCACGAAAGCGUGGGGAGCAAACAGGAUUAGAUACCCUGGUAGUCCACGCCCUAAACGAUGUCAACUAGUUGUCGGGUCUUCAUUGACUUGGUAACGUAGCUAACGCGUGAAGUGAC
rnacentral:rRNA from 1 species